rnacentral:rRNA from 1 species
CGAGGCGAACCGGGGAAACUGAAACAUCUCAGUACCCCGAGAAAAAGAAAUCAACCGAGAUUCCCCCAGUAGCGGCGAGCGAACGGGGAGCAGCCCAGAGUCAACAUCAAUAUUUACCACAGGAGAAGGGUCUGGAAAAGCCGGCAAUAAAGGGUGAUAGCCCCGUAUCUAAAGCGGUAAGUGUUGUGAACUCGAAGAGUAGGGCGGGACACGUGUUAUCCUGUCUGAAUAUGGGGGGACCAUCCUCCAAGGCUAAAUACUCCUGACUGACCGAUAGUGAACCAGUACCGUGAGGGAAAGGCGAAAAGAACCCCGGCGAGGGGAGUGAAAUAGAACCUAAAACCGUGUACGUACAAGCAGUAGGAGCACCCGAAAGGGUGUGACUGCGUACCUUUUGUAUAAUGAGUCAGCGACUUAUAUUCUGUAGCAAGGUUAACCGCAUAGGGGAGCCGUAGGGAAACCGAGUCUUAACUGGGCGUUAAGUUGCAGGGUAUAGACCCGAAGCCCGGUGAUCUAGCCAUAAGCAGGUUGAAG